rnacentral:rRNA from 1 species
UCAGUCCUACGGGAGGCAGCAGUGGGGAAUAUUGCACAAUGGGGGGAACCCUGAUGCAGCGACGCCGCGUGAAGGAUGAAGUAUUUCGGUACGUAAACUUCUAUCAGCAGGGAAGAAAAUGACGGUACCUGACUAAGAAGCCCCGGCUAACUACGUGCCAGCAGCCGCGGUAAUACGUAGGGGGCAAGCGUUAUCCGGAUUUACUGGGUGUAAAGGGAGCGUAGACGGGCCAGCAAGUCUGAUGUGAAAACCCGUGGACCAACCCCGGGAGUGCAUUGGAAACUGCGUGCCUGGA